CCCUUAGAUGUUCUGGGCCGCACGCGCGCUACACUGAUGCAUUCAACGAGUUUCUUCCUGGUCCGAGAGGAAUGGGUAACCUUUUGAAAGUGCAUCGUGAUAGGGAUAGACUAUUGCAAUUAUUGGUCUUCAACGAGGAAUUCCUAGUAGACGUAGUUCAUCAGACUGCAUCGAUUACGUCCCUGCCCUUAGUACACACCGCCCGUCGCUCCUACCGAUUGAAUGCUCAGGUGAGCCAUUCGGACUUUCAUCAUGCUGGUUUCCAGUUUUGAUGAAGGAAAGUCUUGCGAACCUUAUCAUUUAGAGGAAGGAGAAGUCGUAACA
rnacentral:rRNA from 1 species